rnacentral:rRNA from 1 species
GACGAAGGAUGCAAGCGUUAUCCGGAUUCAUUGGGUUUAAAGGGCGCGUAGGCGGUCUUGUAAGUCAGUGGUGAAAUCUCGCAGCUUAACUGCGAAACUGCCAUUGAUACUGCUUGACUAGAGUAUAGAUGCUGUGGGCGGAAUAUGACAUGUAGUGGUGAAAUACAUAGAGAUGUCAUAGAACACCGAUUGCGAAGGCAGCUCACAAAACUAUAACUGACGCUGAGGCUCGAAAGUGUGGGGAUCAAACAGG